CCGAGUUGUACAACUCCCAAACCCCUGUGAACAUACCUAUCGUUGCCUUCGGCUGAGCCUCCCCGGUCGCUACCUCGUAGCCCUGAUCAGUCGCCCGCCGGAGACUCCAAACUCUUGUAUUUCGUUAGUCAUCUUCUGAGAAUAACAACAAAUAAAUUA
rnacentral:misc_RNA from 1 species